rnacentral:lncRNA from 1 species
GUGCUAGUACCGGAUAUAUGUGCAUUGUAUUGUCAAAAACAGCCCAUAUUUAUGUAGCAGAAGCAUUCUACUGUCCAAUAAAUAACUAAAGGUUUACAUUUUAACAAUUUUGUAAAACUGCUAUAUUUUGGGGCCAAAAAGGGAUCUUACUGAACCUACUCCUUUCUACCAAACACCUGCUUCAGUUUUUGCAAUGAAAUCGACACACCACUUACAUUUUACUACAUAAUUUCUGACACUCUUAAGAUUUAUUUGAUUUUGCAUGAGGCUCCUAUAUUAACUUGUUAUUUAGAUGUGAUUGUAUUGCAAACUAAGUUUGAUGGCGAAUAUCAAAAGUUAAAUUUGAAAGAGGGACGAAAGAUACCAGAGGGAGAGGCAAACUCAUAGAUAAAAAAUUAAACCGACAACACCAUAGCUAAAAAUAAAAAGACAAACAAACAAAUAAUAGUACAGAAGACACAACAUAGAAAACUAAAGACUUAGCAACACGAACC